rnacentral:rRNA from 1 species
UCAGUUCGGACUGCAGGCUGCAACUCGCCUGCACGAAGUUGGAAUUGCUAGUAAUCGUGGAUCAGCAUGCCACGGUGAAUACGUUCCCGGGUCUUGUACACACCGCCCGUCACACCAUGGGAGCCGGUAAUACCCGAAGUCAGUAGUCUAACCGCAAGGAGGACGCUGCCGAAGGUAGGAUUGGCGACUGGGGUGAAGUCGUAACAAGGUAGC